rnacentral:snRNA from 1 species
GUGCUCGCUUCGGCAGCACAUAUACUAAAAUUAAAACGAUACACAGAGGAUUAACGUGGCCGUGAGCAAG